CUCCCUGAUGUUAGGCGGCGGACGUGUUGAGUAACACGUGUGUAGACCUGCCUGUAAGACUGGGAUAACUCCGGGAAACCGGGGGCUAAUACCGGAUGGUUGUUUGAACCGCAUGGUUCAAACAUAAAAGGUGGCUUCGGCUACCACUUACAGAUGGACCCGCGGCGCAUUAGCUAGUUGGUGAGGUAAUGGCUCACCAAGGCAACGAUGCGUAGCCGACCUGAGAGGGUGAUCGGCCACACUGGGACUGAGACACGGCCCAGACUCCUACGGGAGGCAGCAGUAGGGAAUCUUCCGCAAUGGACGAAAGUCUGACGGAGCAACGCCGCGUGAGUGAUGA
rnacentral:rRNA from 1 species